rnacentral:rRNA from 1 species
CAGACGAUGCGUCAUGCAUAUCAAUAAGCGGAGGAAAAGAAACUAACAAGGAUUCCCCUAGUAACGGCGAGUGAAGCGGGAAGAGCUCAAAUUUGAAAUCUUAAAGGGUUUCCCUUUACGAAUUGUAGUUUAAAGAAGUGUUUUCUGUUGAGGUUUUGGUAAAAGUUCUUUGGAAUAGGACAUCAUAGAGGGUGAGAAUCCCGUAUUUGACCUUUACUUUCAACUUUGUGAUACACUUUCAAAGAGUCGGAUUGUUUGGGAAUGCAGUCCAAAAUGGGUGGUAAAUUUCAUCUAAAGCUAAAUAUUGGCGAGAGACCGAUAGCGAACAAGUACCGUGAGGGAAAGAUGAAAAGAACUUUGAAAAGAGAGUUAAACAGUACGUGAAAUUGUCAAAAGGGAAGCGUUUGACACCAGUGUUGUUUUUCUGAAAAUCAAUUAAAGAACUGUUUAUGCUAAGCUGUUUAGACUUUAUCAGCUAUCUGUUUAGUUUUGAGCUUUUCUUUAAUGCACUUUUCAGUUAACAAGUCAACAUCAAUUUCUUUUGCUGUAAAAAAGCUUGAGGAAGGUGGCUUGAGAUUCGUCUUAAGUGUUUAUAGCCUCUUGCCUAUGCAGUCGGAGAGAUUGAGGUCUGCAGCGUAGAUCCUUCGGGGCUAAAUGCAUUUGUGCUAAGUUAUAGCAUUUUAUAGACAACUUGUUGACUAUGAUUUGUCUUGUAGCUUACUCGCUUAUGUUAUUUUACCUACGCUUAGGAUGUUGACACACGCGCGUGCUCG